CUCCCCCGCCGUCGCUCUCGUCCUGCCGAGAUUCCGCACGAGCUCAACUGCCAGCGAGCUCUCACCGCCACUCGCUGCCCCGCCCGCCCGCCAGCCAGCCAGCUACAAGAUCGCCCGCCGCCUCUUCUUCUCCUCUUGCAAGCUGAGCCACUCCGCUUCCUUCUGGCUCAGAUCUCUCCUCCAACUCCGAGAGUGCCCCCGGUGGCGCCCCUCCUCCGCCCCCGGACCGUCAUCCCGCAGGUGUGAGACCGGUGCAUUGCUUGGUUGACCCCUACUUCUGGAAAUGCUUGAUUCACUUAUUAGCCAUGACCCAAAGGUGUUGACUGAGAAGAAGCCUGAUGAGAUAAUUGCGACUGGUGUUGUUGAAAGUCUGCAGAAUUUUCUGCGCAAGUGCAUCAUAGCUGUCCUCUCAUAUGGCCCGAUGCCUAAACACAUCGCGUUUAUUAUGGACGGGAACCGCAGAUAUGCCAAGUCCAGAAGUAUCAAGCAAGGCACCGGUCACAGCGUGGGGUUCGCUGCUCUAAUGGCAAGUCUUAUCUACUGUUACGAGAUGGGUGUCAAGUACAUCACGGUGUAUGCAUUCAGCAUCGACAAUUUCAAACGUGACCCUAGCGAGGUCAAGACCUUGAUGGAAUUAAUGGAGGAAAAGAUCAACGAGCUGUUGGAAAACAAGAAUGUCAUCAACAAGGUUAACUGCAAGAUCAACUUCUGGGGGAACCUGGACAUGCUUCCCGAACCAGUGCGGUUGGCAGCCCAGAAGCUGAUGGCGAGCACCGCCGAGAACACAGGACUGAUCUUCUCCGUCUGCAUGCCGUACAAUUCGACCUCCGAAAUCGCCAACGCCGUCACCGAGCUCUGCAAAGAACGGAGGGAUAUGAUGCAGGGGCAGCAGGCCAGUGGCCGCAACGGCCACCCCGCAAAUGGCGGUGCACAUUUGGAUAUCUCGGUGGCCGACCUGGACCGCCACAUGUACACCGCUGGCUGCCCGGACCCGGACAUUGUGAUCCGGACCUCGGGCGAGACCCGGCUGAGCAACUUCCUCCUGUGGCAGACGACGUUUAGUCAUCUGCAGAACCCGGACCCCCUCUGGCCUGAGUUCUCCUGGAGGCACCUCGUCUGGGCGAUACUGCAGUACCAGAGAGCCUACCCGUACAUCGAGCAGAACAAAGGUCUGGCAAAGAAGCAGCUGUGAGUGAGGGAUCUCAUCUCCUUCGCAAGGAGAUAUAUGUAGAUGGUCAUCCAGAAGACACAAUAAUAACAGACAGGGCUGGCAGAGAAGCGUCAGUCUGUGAAUAAGGGAUCUGAUCUCCUUUGGGAGGAGAUAAGCAGAUACCAAGAAAAGAUAGUUACAGCAACAUGUUGGAAGUUUGCCCUUGCUAUUUUUCGUGUAUGAGAGGAGUAUAAUUAUGGGAGCCAUGUGUAUUAUGAUGUACAAUUCUCCGUUUUACUGUCGUGUUAAAUUAAACGUUGGCAAUGGCUUGCCACUUCGCCUGAAUAAGGAGCCAAAUCGAGGAAAUUGUAAAGCGUCACAAUAUAUAUUCAGUACUCAUUUGUACUCCCAAGGCAUAUAAUUCACAUUUGCCUCGUUUUCAUAGCUACUUACAAGAAGCUUGUUGUGAAGGACUCUUGUUAUUAAUGCUAUCUGCUAUGGUGCUAAGUUUAUGAUUCCUGGAUGGCUCCGGUUUGAGAAUGACAUUGAUGUUGGGGAAGUGGUUGUUCUCAUGACGACCAAGGGGGAGGUGAUUGCCAUUGGUAUCGCUGAGAUCCCAACUGCUGUUAUGGCGACUGAUGACCAUGGCGCGGCAGCGAAGAUCAAGAGGGUGGUCAUGGACAGAGGCACAUACCAGGAAAUGGGAACUUGGUCCGGUGGCAGCGUCCGAAAGAUGAUGAACGAGGGCUCCUUGAUAAGCAUGGGAAACCAACUGAGAAGACCCCAGCUGAGUGAAUAUUCAAUCCCGAGCCUAAGGCUCAUCUGCACCCGGUGA
rnacentral:rRNA from 1 species